rnacentral:piRNA from 1 species
UGAGGCCUCUCCUUCGGGUCUUGCCAAGGA